AGGAUGAACGCUGGCGGUGUGCCUAAGACAUGCAAGUCGAGUGGGUUUAGACCCACGGCGAACGGGUGAGUAACACGUGGGAACUUUCUUCAAGACGGGCAUAUCCUUCCGAAAGGAAGUGCAAUUCCCGAUGUGAUCGCAAGAUUAAAGUCGCAAGACGCUUGAAGUGAGGCCUGCGGACCAUCAGCUAGUUGGUAAGGUAACGGCUUACCAAGGCUAUGACGGUUAGCGGAUCUGAGAGGAUGACCCGCCACACUGGGACUGCGACACGGCCCAGACUCCUACGGGAGGCAGCAGUUUGGAAUUUUGGACAAUGGGCGAAAGCCUGAUCCAGCGACACCGCGUGGACGAUGAAGGUCUUCGGAUCGUAAAGUCCGUUUUAGUAGGGAACAAUUUUGAGCGUACCUACAGAAUAAGAGGUUGCUAACUCUGUGCCAGCAGCCGC
rnacentral:rRNA from 1 species